GCUGCACAAAACAGGUCAGACAGCACUGACUCUUCUGCACAGACCCAGCUGUGGGUGUACUUUUGAAAGCACAUUGGUUCUGGACUCCAAAAAUGCCACACUGCUAAGGGCAACGUGCGGAAGCCUGGUAUCUGACUAAUGCUCACCAAGUGUUACAAGGCUUGAGCAGAGGGAAAUAUGCAACCCUGUGACCCUGACUCAGAAUAGCCAAACUCCAUCUGCUCUGAAACUUUAAAUGGUAAGAAUGCCUCCAUUUCUUACUGGACAUAUUUGGAGGGCUUUAUCCAGGGAAAGCUCAGAAACUGCAAGUACAGAAUUUCACAAAACCAGAGAAGAAUGAACAGGUACUAUACCUUACAGCAUAUUGAGCAUAUUAAUCACUGCCUGAUA
rnacentral:lncRNA from 1 species